AUUUAGUUAAGCUUCACUUAUUUCCAGUGUCCCUCCCCUAUCCUUCGGGACAGGGGAAGGAGAGUUUUUCUCUCCAGCUGGAUUUAGGUCCCCUUCCCACCCUAGUGUGGAUGUAUAGUUUUGGUUUUGUGAGAUGGAUCUGCAGAUCUGGGAUAUAUCUUGGCGAGGGUGCUUUGGAGAUGAUAUAUUAGGGGGAAGCUAUGGUUAAAUCGUUUGUUUGAUGUGUUUGCUUUCUGGGUGUGAUGGUUUUUCGGCAUUUUGGGUUUGUGUUGUAGGAAUUGUUGAGCCAAUUGGUGCUUAGUCAUGGGUCUAGUUGGGUGCUUUGCGAGGGAAGAAGGAUUUCUCUUGCUUUGGCAGUUCUGCAACUCCAAAAUUUACUUUUACACUGCAGCUGAAAAGGUCAUCCUGUUGGCCAUUGUGGGUCAAUGAGCUCUACAGAGCGUCCUCCUUCCAAUGUUAUAGCUGAACUCUAGCUUAGUGAAGAAAGUGGGAUGUUUUGUGCUUGAGAGGGGCUGAGCGUUCAUGGGCAUCUUUAGGUGCUCCUUGGGAUACUGACAAUGUAUAGUUGAAUUCAAUGUCUGCAUCUGCUUAUCUGAUGAAAGCAAGUGAUAGAGGUGGUUAACAGUGUGGAGAUUAAAUUGGAUUCUCUCUCUGUAACCUAUGGUUUUAGGAAGGGGACAGAUCAAUUUGGAAUGGUUGGGUUUGAUUUGAUUGAGUUGGGUAGGUUUGGUUUUGUUUUAUUAGAUUGGUUUGGUUUUAAUCAUUGGGUGAGCUUGUUUCAUAUCUUAAGUGUGGGUAUCUUUUUCUCCUUGUUUGUUUUCUUUGCCUUUUAGAACUUUUAAUGCAAGAAUACAUAUUAAAAAAAAAAGAAAAGAAAAUGAUAAUAAGCUGAAAAAGAG
rnacentral:misc_RNA from 1 species